rnacentral:lncRNA from 1 species
CAUUCUUCAAUAUUCAGUGACAAUCUCGGCUGUACAUUAUCUUCUCCGAUCGAAUCAUUUGAUCUCGGCUGUACAUCAUCUUUUCCGAUCAUAUUCCUUUAUGAGUUAUGGGGUUGCUCAUUAUCUUCACCGGUAAAGUCCACCAACACUUCCUCACACUACAAGAAAACAUCAAUUUUACAACUGCAACAAUAGUUACAAAUUAGUUGCAAAUAUCAAAAAUGUAACUAUUUUGCAACUACUAAAUGUAGUUAAAAAUACUUCGUCGCAAAAAAAAUUAGUUGUAAAUUAGUUGCAAAAGAGCAACUACGGUGAAACUAUUUAAUCGGUGGUAAAUUAGCAACUAAUUUAUAACUAACAGUUGUAGUUGCAUAAAACUUAACACCAACUUUUUCGUUACACAUUAGUCCCAAAAAGAUAGUUACUAAUUAGUCUCAAUUCAAAUUUGGUUAUAAGUUAGUUGCUAAUAUUAGUGACUACAAUAUUUAUAGAUAGUUACAAAUUAGUCACAAGUUUUUAUGAUUAUAUAGCAACAAUAUUAUUUAUAUUUCAACAAAUUAAUGGUUAAUAAAUUAUUAAUUGGAAUCCGUUAAAUUAUAAAAAUUAAUUAUUAAUUAAAAAAGUAAUUUUAGAAUCAAAAUUUCAUAUUGAUAUUAAAUUUAAUUAAAAAUUUAAAUUACAACAAUAAAUACACAAAAACACCAUCAUCAUCUCGUGUGCUCGGACUCCGCCACCCGCUUCUCCACCGGCUCUGGUUUCACGGCUCCACGACGACUCGGAGUGCCCCCUGAAGCGACGACUUGGAGUGGUUCCAUCUGAAGCAACGACUCGAUCUGGUAGUGGAGCCACCGGUGUUGGUCUGAUACAUACACCGUUCCUCCGAUUCGUUAGACCACCUCCAUCUCCGGCGCGUCUGCUCUAUUAUAGCUGCUCCUUUUUCUCAGAUCUGUAAACAAAACAAAAAUCAAUUAGAUUAGCAUAAGGAGAUGAAGAGAAAGAAAAAAAACUAAGAAAAAUGAAACGGUAAAGGAAAAAGAAAGUGAAAAGGAGAGAGCAGAGAACGAGAAGAAGAUGAAGAGAAAAGAUAAAAGGUUUUCUGUGUAUGAAACUGGCAAAGAAGAAAACAGAAAAGAGGGAUAAAAAUCUGAUUAAAUCGUGGCCGUUAGAGUUAUUAAUAUAUCUACGGUGGAUGAGCUACAAAAGCCAAUCCUUCCCUUCGCGAACUGACCAAUAGAAAGCAAGCUUUUUAAUUUUAUUUUUAAUUUUAUUAGACAAAUUAGGCUACUAAAGUGCAACUAUCUUAAUGCAAAUGGUUGCAAAAUAGUGGUUAACAAUACC